UACGGAGGGUGCAAACGUUGUUCGGAAUUACUGGGCGUAAAGGGCUCGUAGGCGGCCAACUAAGUCAGACGUGAAAUCCCUCGGCUUAACCGGGGAACUGCGUCCGAUACUGGAAGGCUUGAAUCCGGGAGAGGGAUGCGGAAUUCCAGGUGUAGCGGUGAAAUGCGUAGAUAUCUGGAGGAACACCGGUGGCGAAGGCGGCAUCCUGGACCGGUAUUGACGCUGAGGCGCGAAAGCCAGGGGAGCAAACGGG
rnacentral:rRNA from 1 species